rnacentral:tRNA from 1 species
GGCUCUGAGGUGUCAACAUGUAAGAUUGCAAAUCUUAAGAAGCAGGCUAACCCCUGCCGGGGCUU